CGGCACAUUAAUCCAGAAUAGCACCUUAUCUGAAGCUUGCCAGGAAGUAUGAGCAUCGCGCUUACAUAUGUACCGAGGUGCGGGCACCCGUCAGCUGCAACAUGAGCCACCGUGGGAGGGACGUGAAAUGUGGCCAUGGUUCUCGGUGGCUUUAAUGCCGUUACGAGGAGGCAGAAACAGGGCCGACCCCGGGGGCCUCCAGGGCCCAGUAAGCCAGUGGCAGGUCCACUUCAUCACCUCUCCUCCGAAUGAACUCUGGCUGAACCCCUCUGCUGUGGUUAUUUUCGCUGGCAUCUGCCGCUCCACGGCCGCCGACAUGAGAAAGAGUCCCCUCUUGGUAAUUAUUCGGAGACCGGUUCAAAAGAAAUAUACUCCAAAUAUGAUCUUCCCACGGAAGACGACAACAUCACAAACCACAUCAGC
ensembl:lncRNA